rnacentral:rRNA from 1 species
GAUGAACGCUGGCGGCGUGCCUAAUACAUGCAAGUCGAGCGAACGGACGAGAAGCUUGCUUUUCUGAUGUUAGCGGCGGACGGGUGAGUAACACGUGGAUAACCUACCUAUAAGACUGGGAUAACUUCGGGAAACCGGAGCUAAUACCGGAUAAUAUUUUGAACCGCAUGGUUCAAAAGUUAAAGACGGUCUUGUUGUCACUUAUAGAUGGAUCCGCGCUGCAUUAGCUAGUUGGUAAGGUAACGGCUUACCAAGGCAACGAUGCAUAGCCGACCUGAGAGGGUGAUCCGCCACACUGGAACUGAGACACGGUCCAGACUCCUCAGGGAGGAAGCAGUUGGGAAUCUUCCCCAAUGGGGGAAAGCCUGACGGAGCAAAGCCGCCUGAGUGAUGAAGGUCCUCGGAUUGUAAACCCCUGUUAUUAGGGAAGAACAUAUGUGUAAGUAACUGUGCACAUCUUGACGGUACCUAAUCAGAAAGCCACGGCUAACUACGUG